UAUAUAAUUUGUGUGAAAUUAUUUGUAUGCAACACUAAAAGAGCCUGAUAUUAUCUCCUUUUUUUCUUUUUAGUUCUCUCUUUCUUUCUUUCUUGCUUUCUUUCUUUCUUUCUUUCUUUCUCUCUCUUUCUCUCUCUCUCUCUCUCUCUCUCUUUCUUUCUUUCUUUCUUUUUUUAAAUUUGGUUUUUGAGACAGGGUUUCUCUGUAUAGUCCUGGCUGUCCUGGAACUCACUUUGUAGACCAGGCUGGCCUCGAACUCAGAAAUCCACCUUCUGGGAUUAAAGGCGUGCACCAUCACACCCAUCUGGAUAUUAUCUCCUAAGUAAAACAGAAAAGAAAAAAGAAAAGCCACUGCUACAUUUCCAAUCAAAGAAGAGUCUGAAUCUUUUUUUUUUUUUUUUAAAGAAAGAUACUGAUUGGGAUAGAAAUAAUAAUAAUAAUAAUAAUAAUAAUAAUAAUAAUAAAAACAUGGAAGUGGUGGGAAGAUGUGGAUUUGAAUGGAAGAAGAGGUGAGGAGGAUGUAGAAGGAAUUCCUGGAAGGGAAACUGUAAUCAGAAUAUAUUGUAUGAGAAAUUUCUUUUCAGUUAAAUAAAACUUGAAGAAAGAAAGAAUGAAAUUGAAUUUAGAGAUAUAAAUAUAUGGAGUAGAAACUUAUGAAUGAUAAUCAGUCCAUAGGAAUAGAUGACAUGAGUCCAGUGAAAUCUAAUGCAAGCACAUCAAGUAAGGGAAGAGCAACAGGGUCCUCAGAAGCUUGUGUAUGAGAUGGGGAAGCCUGACCAUGACAUUGGAGAGACAGAAGACAGCAGGAUAGCCUGGCUAACUGUGGAAUGGAGACAGCUAAGAGUCUGAGGAUCAAAAACUGUUGCCUAUGGGUGAAGUCAGAUGGGAACUGAAGAUGCACAAGGAUCGGUCAGGCCAGUCCAAUGUCUGUGCUGCUUCAGUUCACUUGAGAGGUCUUAGUUGUUUGAUGGAGAAAAUUAACCCCGUUAAUUUUAGGGUAAGUGAUUUCCUUCCAAACAAGAGAGGGGAACUAAUGGAACAAGAAAACCAAGAUGGAGAGAAAAAGAGGGAAGUAUUCCAGG
rnacentral:lncRNA from 1 species